AUACUUACCUGUACCAUGAUCAAGAAGGUGGUUCACUCAGCCAUUGCACUUUGCGCUGACCCCUGCGAAUUCCCCAAAUGUGGGAGUCUCGACUGCAUAAUUUCUGGUAGUGGGGGACUGAACGUCAAAGGAAAACAAGGUGUCCCGG
rnacentral:snRNA from 1 species